CUGCAUACAGGGUCUAGUUUUAUUUUAAAUCAUGUAAAUAUAUGCAACAACUCGAUAGCGAGGCUUUAAAUUAUCUCAAAUUCAAGAUGGCGACCGCAAUGUCACGUCCGUUCGUCUGUAUUAGCAGCGAUUUUUACUCGAAUGUCGUUAGAAAAAGUGGAUUCUUAAAAUUUAAUGAGAAAAUUUCCAACUCAAUGUGGAAAAUGCAAACGAAAAGACAGUGUGAUGUUUUAGCUUGAAUAGUAGAAGAAGACCAACAAAAGUUUCUGUGUUGUGCUACUUUGAUGUGCUAACAAGUCUAAACGGUGUGGAAAAUGUUCUCUCAAGUCAAGUAUGAAACACGGUCGGUAAUUAUUCACAAKACAGCUUUUUAUAUUAGUAAAAGUCUUGUUGUAGCAUUACAUUUAAUCAUGUAUCAGAACACAUGCCCUAAACAUGAUAUUUGAUGGUAUAGGAUAUAUACUCGAGACCUUUACAUGACCAUUCCUUUCAUAUUUUUUUUAUCAGAUUGAAAUAUUAAGGACCUUCAUGUAAUAGGGAAAGUACAUUAAUGUAUUAAAAAUAUUUCUCAUACUCAUUAAUUAUUCGCGAGGUAUCCAGCCAAUCCCUGAUUGUAAUUUGUACUAAGUAUGCAGUAACUGGAAAACCAGAUACUCCUACCUUGUUUCCAGUUACUUCUACCUUUUUCUAACUACUACUAGCUAAUAAUAAUAAAAGCAUUGGAUAGAAUUUAUUUAGUAGUGAAAAAUGACAUGACUGCCUCACGAAUCGAUCCCCAACUGGCCAGUAUAUAUGUACCGUCUUAUAGUACAGAGUUUCUGAUGUGAUUCCUUGGAAGAUGACAUUCUUAUAAAUCUUAUGAAUUAGGCACAUUAAAAUUGCCUUGAAUAAAGAAAGAGAAAGACAAAGACAAUUUGUCAUGAGUAGCUUUUGUUUCAGAACCAUUCGGGAAUUUGACUAGAAAUCCCAUGCAGUCCUCAUAGUCGGACCUAACACUACAUGAAUUUUGAUAUCUUAAUAAUACCUUAAAAACUCAUACAUAAUUAAUGAGCAACUAGGCCAAUAGAAUGAGCAUAUUU